rnacentral:lncRNA from 1 species
AUGUACGAAAGAGAGAAAUCAUAUAUUGGAUAAACUUUUGGAUUACAAUAGGGGAUAUUGCAGGAGGAACAUCAUCCAAAUGUGAUGCAUAAUGUAAAUAUUCUCUUGACAACAAAACUUAAAUUGAAACCAUCCAUCAACAUCCCUACAACUUAACAAAAACUUAAUCGAGCAACAUGAUUCAAGAGGAACAACAUCCCUACUAACUUAACUAAAACUAAAAGCAUCUGUCAUCGUCAUCAUGAACCAGAACACCAUCACCAUCAUUGAAGUAUAAUUGCCUCAUCCAUAUAUCUUUUGAAUCUACAAAGUAAAUAAGAAAAUGAACUGUUAAUACACAAUGCAUUGAGAUUACACAAGUAGUGAUAGAGGCAUGAUGUUUCACAUACAAAUGUUAAACAUAAUGCAAUCUUUGUUUUUUCUGAAUUACCAAGAAUAUUAUAGGUUUUGCGACUACGUACCAAAUCUUCAUUUUUCACAAGUGUCAUAUGAACAUGAAGUGCCCCAAAUUCAUUCGCAGUUUCAGCACCAUCAAGGUUAAAUUUAGGA